GAUGAACGCUGGCGGCGUGCCUAAUACAUGCAAGUCGAGCGAACGGACGAGAAGCUUGCUUCUCUGAUGUUAGCGGCGGACGGGUGAGUAACACGUGGAUAACCUACCUAUAAGACUGGGAUAACUUCGGGAAACCGGAGCUAAUACCGGAUAAUAUUUUGAACCGCAUGGUUCAAAAGUGAAAGACGGUCUUGCUGUCACUUAUAGAUGGAUCCGCGCUGCAUUAGCUAGUUGGUAAGGUAACGGCUUACCAAGGCAACGAUGCAUAGCCGACCUGAGAGGGUGACCGGCCACACUGGAACUGAGACACGGUCCAGACUCCUACGGGAGGCAGCAGUAGGGAAUCUUCCGCAAUGGGCGAAAGCCUGACGGAGCAACGCCGCGUGAGUGAUGAAGGUCUUCGGAUCGUAAAACUCUGUUAUUAGGGAAGAACAUAUGUGUAAGUAACUGUGCACAUCUUGACGGUACCUAAUCAGAAAGCCACGGCUAACUACGU
rnacentral:rRNA from 1 species